rnacentral:rRNA from 1 species
CUCAACGACCGUACCGCAAACCGACACUGGUGCGCGAGAUGAGUAUUCUAAGGCGCUUGAGAGAACUCAGGAGAAGGAACUCGGCAAAUUGACACCGUAACUUCGGAAGAAGGUGUGCCCUAUUAGUGUGAAGUGAACAACGGAGCAUGAAUGGGUUGCAAAAAAUCGGUGGCUGCGACUGUUUAUUAAAAACACAGCACUCUGCAAACACGAAAGUGGACGUAUAGGGUGUGACGCCUGCCCGGUGCUGGAAGAUUAAAUGAUGGGGUGCAAGCUCUUGAUUGAAGUCCCAGUAAACGGCGGCCGUAACAAUAACGGUCCUAAGGUAGCGAAAUUCCUUGUCGGGUAAGUUCCGACCUGCACGAAUGGCGUAACGAUGGCCACACUGUCUCCUCCUGAGACUCAGCGAAGUUGAAAUGUUUGUGAUGAUGCAAUCUCCCCGCGGAAAGACGGAAAGACCCCAUGAACCUUUACUGUAGCUUUGUAUUGGACUUUGAACAGAUCUGUGUAGGAUAGGUGGGAGGCUUUGAAGCAGGGUCGCUAGAUCUUGUGGAGCCAACGUUGAAAUACCACCCUGGUGUGUUUGAGGUUCUAACCUAGGUCCAUUAUCUGGAUCGGGGACAGUGCAUGGUAGGCAGUUUGACUGGGGCGGUCUCCUCCCAAAGCGUAACGGAGGAGUUCGAAGGUACGCUAGUUACGGUCGGACAUCGUGACGAUAGUGCAAUGGCAUAAGCGUGCUUAACUGCGAGACUGACAAGUCGAGCAGAUGCGAAAGCAGGACAUAGUGAUCCGGUGGUUCUGUAUGGAAGGGCCAUCGCUCAACGGAUAAAAGGUACUCUGGGGAUAACAGGCUGAUACCGCCCAAGAGUUCAUAUCGACGGCGGUGUUUGGCACCUCGAUGUCGGCUCAUCUCAUCCUGGGGCUGUAGCCGGUCCCAAGGGUAUGGCUGUUCGCCAUUUAAAGAGGUACGUGAGCUGGGUUUAAAACGUCGUGAGACAGUUUGGUCCCUAUCUUCCGUGGGCGCUGCAGAUUUGAGGAAGCCUGCUCCUAGUACGAGAGGACCGGAGUGGACACACCUCUGGUGUAUCGGUUGUCACGCCAGUGGCAUUGCCGAGUAGCUAAGUGUGGAAGAGAUAACCGCUGAAAGCAUCUAAGCGGGAAACUCGUUUCAAGAUGAGAUCUGCCGGGGCCUUGAGCCCCCUGAAGAGUCGUUCAAGACCAGGACGUUGAUAGGUCAGGUGUGGAAGCGCAGUAAUGCGUUAAGCUAACUGAUACUAAUUGCUCGUGCGGCUUGACC